GCCCCGGUAGCUCAGCUGGAUAGAGCAGCGGUCUUCUAAACCGCAGGUCGCGGGUUCGAGUCCUGCCCGGGGCG
rnacentral:tRNA from 1 species